GUGGGCCUGGUGUGUUCCCUGUGUGGUGGCCUUGUGUCACCCUGAUGCCACCAAGCUCUUCUCAAGGGGGGAGGAAAAAAGGUCCAUGGCCGCUCGGUGGGGGAAAGCCUGUCCCAAAAUUUCUCUGGCUCGUGGUGGACAUGUGGCAACCGACGGACCCGAGGCUGGGACGUGUCACAGGCCACACGUGGGGAUGUCACACGAACAGCGGUGGGGACAUGUGCUGCCACCACCAUGGACACGGGCACAUCCCACCUCGUGCUCCAGGGCGUUGGUGCCCUCGAGGAGACACAACCCCAUGGGCCACCGAGGCUGGGGACAUCACCACUGCCACCUCCCUUGGGCUGCAGGUGGCUGGUGUGGUUUGGUGGGGCCGUGCUGUGGUGUGGCCACCAUGGCCACCCACUGUGGUCACCGAGGCCACCUACUGCGGCCACUGCCCAUGGUUUGCAGUGUCCUGCACUGCUGUGCCAGGUCCCACUGUGGUGGCACCCAUCCCCUGGCAGCACAGGGGCUCAGCAGGGACGGGUGUCACGGGCUGGUGACCAGAGGUCCCUUGGCACGCACAAGGCCACCAGAGCGUGGUGGCCAUGGGUGGCUGUUGGUGGCCAUGGAGCCUCAGAGUCACCACGGUGGCGGUGCUGAUGGUGGUGCUGCCCGCAAACCCCUCUGUGGCCUCCACAGCACCCAUCCCUCUGUCCCUGUCCUCCCCCUGUCCUUCCGUCCCUCCUCUUCCUCCUAUAUCUUCUUCCCUUCAUCCCUUUCCUCUGCCCACCCUUCCUUCCAUCCCUGCGUCCCCCGCUUAUGUCCAUCCGGCCUUCCUUCUGUCUGUCCUUCCCUCCCUCCCUUCAUCUCUUUCCAUCCGUCCUUCCUCCCUCCCAUACGUCCAUCCUUCUGUCCUUCCUUCCUUCCCUCCUGUCCUUGGUCCCUUUCCCCCUUCCCUCCGUCUGUCCGUCCUUCUGUCCAUCCAUCCUUCCCUGCCUCCUCCUGUCCCUUUCCUCUGUCCAUCCUUCUCUCCCUUUCUAUCCGUCCUUUUCCUCCUCCUGUCUGUCUUUCUGUCUAUCCUUCCAUCCUUCCCUUUCCUACUUCUGUCUGUCCUUUCCUACUUCUGUCCAUCUGUCCUUCUCUGGUCUCUCUGCUUCCUUCCAUCUCGUUCCACUUCCUUCCAUCCCUCCUCCUGUCCUUUGUCCCUUUCCAACUUCUCGCUUCCUUCUGUCCAUCUGUCCCUUCAUCCUUCUCCUCCCGUCCGUUGGUCUGUCCGUCCCUCUAUCCGUUGGUCUGUCCAUCCCUCUGUCCUUGCCUCCCUCUCCCUUCCUUCCCACCGUCCCUCUGUCCGUCCUUCCUUCUGUCCUUCCCUUUCCUCCCUCCUCUGUGCAUCCAUUCUUCCCGUCAUCCCUUCCCUACCUCUGUCCGUCCUUCUGUCCAUCCUCCCCUGUCCCCCUUCACCCUCUUUGCGGGGAGGACAGACCAUGGGGUGUCCCACUGUCU
rnacentral:lncRNA from 1 species